rnacentral:rRNA from 1 species
ACGUGCCGCGUCGACGGUACUUAGUGGGGUGAGUAACUGUGUAUCUGCCUUUGGCCUGGAAUAACACGAGGAAACUUGUGCUAAUACCGGUAAUCUUACGGAGAAGCUUUAUGCACCAUUGGAUGACCUGCCUUGAUUAGUUUGUUGGGGGGAAGGCUACCAAGAGUGAUCAAGUGAUUUGAGAGGUGAUCCCGGCUAGACAGCCCAAACUCCUAGGGAGGCACAGGGGGAAUCUUGCACAGGAGAAACUCUGAUGCAGCGAUGCCGCGUGAGUGAAGAAGGCCCUUGGGUUGUAAAGCUCUUUCGUCGGGGAAAAAAUGACUGUACCCGAAUAAAAGGUCCGGUAACUUCUGCCAGCAGCCGCGGUAAUACGAAGGGACUAGUAUCGAUUACUGGGCUAAGAGUUCUAGGUGGUUGAAAAAGUUGUGGGAAAUCCCGAGCUUAACUCUGGAACUGCCAUUAAAACUUUUCAGCUAGAGUAUGAUAGAGGAAAGCAGAAUUUCUUGUAAGGUGAAUUCGUAGAUAUUAGAAAAAUACCUUGCGAAGGCAGCUUUCUGGAUCUUACUGACACUGAGAACGAACUGGGUAGCGAAAGGAUUAGAUACCCUCGUAUCAUGCCGUAAACGAUGUGUGUAACGUUGAAAUUUAUUUUGUGUCCGGGAAACCGAAACACACCGCCGGGGAGACGACCGCAAGGUAAAACUCAAUGAUGACGGGACCCGCACAGAGUGAGUGUGGUUAAUCAAGAUCGGCAAACUUACCAACCUUGACUGUUCGCGCGCUCAAGAAUUAGGUUUCGCUUCGCCGACAAACACUCAUGCCUGCUCAGCUCGUGUGAGAUUGAUAAGUCCCGCAACUGAGCCACCCUUCACUUUAGUGCUCACUGGGCACUCUAAGACUCGUGUAGCUAGAUGACCAAUCUGGAACUCUCACAUAGAAGCAGCUG